GUGGGGAAUUUUGGACAAUGGGCGCAAGCCUGAUCCAGCAAUGCCGCGUGCAGGAUGAAGGCCUUCGGGUUGUAAACUGCUUUUGUACGGAGCGAAAAGGUCUCUUCUAAUACAGGAGGCCCAUGACGGUACCGUAAGAAUAAGCACCGGCUAACUACGUGCCAGCAGCCGCGGUAAUACGUAGGGUGCAAGCGUUAAUCGGAAUUACUGGGCGUAAAGCGUGCGCAGGCGGUGUUGUAAGACAGAGGUGAAAUCCCCGGGCUCAACCUGGGAACUGCCUUUGUGACUGCAACGCUAGAGUACGGCAGAGGGGGAUGGAAUUCCGCGUGUAGCAGUGAAAUGCGUAGAUAUGCGGAGGAACACCGAUGGCGAAGGCAAUCCCCUGGGCCUGUACUGACGCUCAUGCACGAAAGCGUGGGGAGCAAACAGGAUUAGAAACCCUAGUAGUCC
rnacentral:rRNA from 1 species